CCCCAUCACUCCCAUCCCCAUUGCUCACAUCCCCAUCACUGCCAUCCCCGGUUGAUCCCUUCCAGAGAGAAGCCUGUGGGAGGGUUAUUCCCAAAAACAUUUUGUUCUAUAACACAUAAAACAAGUCGAUGCAUACCUUAGAUUCUUUUUAUUUUCUUUUUAUUUUCUUUUUUUUUUUUUCAGAACCUCUCUAUGAAGUUGCUUUCCGCAGAACUGCAGAUGUCGCCCUGCUGCAGCCUGAGGUGGAAGUCCCUGCUAAGUGCCAACAGGAGGAAAUGUACUCUAGCCCUGAAAAGACCACCAUGAAAGACAGGAAAAGCCCUGAGUAUGAGAACCUUGUGACUGCAAUGGAAUCUCAAUAUGAAACAGAAGGAAUUUUGUAAAGGACCAGCUUUUCCACAUAAGCAGCCACGCAGGGCUGCAGGUGCUGAAUAGUGAACUCAGCAGAAGGAAACUCUGCCUCCUGCUGUCUCUCUGUUCUGCUCUCACUGCUUGCUUUAACCCAGAGGAGCUGCAUAACCUUUUGGUCUUUGGCAGACCAGGCCCUGCCUGCAGGAGCAGAAACCCCCAGCCAACUGUGUGUCUACUCACUUAUAUAGAGCAAGUUGUUUCUCAGCAACCUGAAGGACCCAGGGCAGGAAGAAAGGAUCUGAAGGAGUGAGAACAUGAAAUUCUUUAGCCUGUAAAUCCAGGAAUAGUUGGUGCAGUGCUGCCAGUCAGUAACACUAGCAAGGGAUACUCUCCAAUGUGUGUUCCUAUUAAGACAUCCCAGGCUGCAAGGAACCAGGAUUGUGCUGGAAAUGGAGAUCCUCUGGCUUUUGCAGUUCAGCAAAUACUGGUUGUACAUCCUGCCUGUGCUUGAAUCUUUUUGUUGUUGUUGUUGUUACAGCAUGGUCUCUGAACUGUCACCCACUGGUUUUCUCCUGGAAAACAAGAACUGAUGUUGAAGGAAAUGCUGGCAUUUAAUUUUUACAGUAUGGGGGCCAGAGGCAUGAUAAAAUAGAAAUUUGAGGCAUUUGGAUAACGAUUAAGGGGCCUCUCUGAAUACAACAGGCUGACACCAAUUUACUCUGGGGGAUGUAAGUCAAUCUGUGUGAUUAUUGUGCAACAUGUAGAUGCAGUUCCUGCGUUCAGCUGCAGUGCAUUCCCUACAGUACACUGUCACUCAGCAGCCUGAUUUGCCUUGUCACUGUUAAUUGUUUGCAUCUUGCCUGGACUGCAGUGCUGCUGUCAGUUCUGUCCUCUCUGUCUGUGCCUCCAGCCAGCAUCUCUUUGUCCUCCAGGGACUUGGCAGGGAGGAGAAAUGCCUUUGGCUUUAGCACACCAAAUUUGUAAGAAUUACUGGCUUUUUUAUAUCAGUGGAUGCAGCAAAGAAAGCAUGGGGAAGCAGCUGAGCGUGUCACACACACCCUCCUACUGGGCCCUGACUUCACCCACAAGGCCAUGAAUCAUCUCUGUUUGGGUCAGCAGCCUAACAGCAGGGUCACUUUGCUGUUUGUGGCCUGAGUGCUGUGUAGAGCCACACUUUUACCUUAACAGCUCUGAAUUGCAGGAUGUGAGCUGAGAAAGAUCAGAGAAAAAAAAUCUCCUGCCUAUAUUGUGAGGGCUUCACAAGCAUGGUGACAGCCAUGCAGGGAGGGCUGUGCUGGCUGCCAGGCUGCACACCAGGGAGGCAGACAGGGUCCAGUCUGUCCCUGUGAGACCCAUGGCAGCCAGCCCUGAGGACCUCAUGCUGCAGAAGCUGCUGGCAUCAGCAGUUCCAGGGGUGGUGCAGAACAAAGGAUUUGAGGGGAAUGGAGAGCUGCAGCCAUGCUCAUGCAGGGCAGUAGCAUAUGGUGCAAGGUCAGUACUGGGUGAAAAGGGAACUGAAAAUUUCUCAGCUUCCCCAUCCUUACCUCAGCAAAUCUAGGCCCAAAACACAUGACAUGGCACUCUCCUUUCCCUUCCCCCCACAUAUAAUCCUCAUUCAUUUUCAAUUAGCUCGGUAGUUUGUGCAAGUUUUCCUGCUGUUAAAAGCUCUGAGCUCCAGGUUCACUCAUUGAGUAUGUAACACCAGUGUUUUUCCAUCUUGUGAUUCCUCCCAGCACUGAUCUGCUCUGACAAGGUCUGAAUGCCUUCCUCAGAAGACAUGAAGCCUGGGAGAAGCUACAGAGGAAGAAGGUAACAGGAGCUAAGAAAGGGGGAGCAGAUGGACCCAGAUGGACCAGCCCCCAUGUACUCCAUGUUGUCACUUCUCUAGUUAGGGCAGCAACAGGACUUUGGUCACAAGUAGCAGAAGAGUGGAAACAUUAGAAGCCUGUCUCCAGUGCUGAGGUGUUUUUCCAUGGGUAACAAUUGUGUGAUUAUUUCUGUAUUUUACUUUUUGCAUGUUUUCCAUGUUUCUAGUAAAACCUGUUGGCAACAGAACAUUUUUCUUCUGAAAGCCACAGGGAGUUCUGCAGAAAACUUCUCCUUUCCUUGCACUGUGCUCGUGUGCUGAGCUCUGCUCCAGAAGGGAAGGAGAAGCUCAGCUUCUGCCCUGAAAGGACACUGCCUCCCAAAAACACACUAACUCAAGUGGCCAUCACAGUGUCAUGAGACUCACAGUUCCCCUUGCAGUGCCUGCCCCAUGGAGGGGACCUGCUGGCUUUUACAGCUGCUGGGUUUGUACCAUACUUCAGAGCAGGGAGGUGGGAGAUGAAGUCCCAGAGAAAUUUGUACCACUGUAAUUUGAUGCUUGUUCUUGUAAGAGUGGAAGGAGUUUACUUUCUUCCCCUUCACCCCAGUCACCUGGAAAGAUCUGGGAGCUAAAGGGAAGAGUUAUCUAAAAAGCAGAGGGUAAAUUACUGGAAGCAAAUAUUGAAAAUGCAUGAGGAAACAAUAAUGAAGGGCAUAAACAAACCCUUGGCCAGCUGUAGUGCAAAGGAGGCUGGGUCUGUUGAAACCUCAAGGUUUGAGUGACAUCAGGGCUUGGGGCUGACAUGGCUGUGUGCUUCAUGGAGGAGCCACUGGGGACAAAGCAAAGCCUGAAAUCUUAGACCUUGCUCUCUUUUGAAGCUAACCUCAGUGAUAAAGAUCAGAGUGAUGUCUGUGAGUCAUGAGGAGGUGCUUGAGAGAGACCAUGGGUGUGUGAGUCACAAGGAGGAGGGCCAUUUCUGACCACUUGUGGACCAUGUUUGUCCAGAAGUGCACAAGCUAUUCAAAAAGCAGAACACAAUUUGCUUAGGCAAUUAUAUAUUCAUAGGUUCCAGCUCAGUACAAACUCCAGCUUCUUCAAAAUAUUUACUAAGGAAUAGUUGCCAUAAAAAGCCCAAAAGCUUAGUAUUCAAGUUUAUUAAUACUCUCAAAUAUUGCAAAAUUUUCUGGUGGUACUGUCCUAAAACUAGUCAGUAGAGUCUUGGGAUUUAUUUUAUUCUUGAGUUUUCCAUGUCAAAUGCGUUCAGAGAGUUUGAUUUGUAAAAUUGGGCUGGAUGCUGCCCCUGUCAUUCCCCCACCGUGACAUAUCUGAAAUGCUACAAGUCAGUUACUGAAAACGCUUAGCAAUCAUUACAUCUUCAAGUGGGAUGAUUUAGAGGGAAUUACUUUAAUUAAAUAGCAGAAUAGGCAAUCUUGCUGCAAGUGCUGACUAGGAAUAACCAUGCACAAACAAGAAAUCUUCUCCAAACAGCAAGGCUCCUAGGAGAGGCAAUGGUCUCCAUGGCCUAAUUUAAAACAGCUUGAACCAACAUGCAUUUUUCACACGCUAAUGGGCCACAGGGAAGUUAAUGAGCAGCCUCAUUAGUUUGUACUCCAUAUAAAAUGAUUACUACAUGUGCAAAGGCAAGAUUCUUUAUUAUGGAUAAUGCUGCCUUUUGCCAUGAUGUUGUGAUUAUAGUUGCCAGGAUCCUUGUUAACUGAGCUUAAUUUACAGCUGGCUAGUUAAUGCUGUGUAAGAGAACAGCAUUGUUUUUGGAUGCAAAUAACAAGGACCCAGGGCACAAUUCCCUGUCUUCACAGUGCAGAGAAGUUGCACCAGCACCCCUUCUGCUCUGAUUUACAGUUGGGAGGGACACCCCAACAGGUACUUCCAAAACCAGGGUGGAAGGGAAACCUGGCAGCACAAGAUCCUUCAGGUGUUCUGGAACACUGGGAUGGGCUGCUCAGUACCUCGGUGGCUUUCUGGAGAAAUGCCGAGCCUGGAGAGGAAGGCUCCGGCCGGAGCAGGAGGAAAGAGCUGCGCCCUCGGCGUCGCGUUGCUCAGCAGUGCCUCACUUGGGGUAUUUGACAAACUGACACUCUGCACACUGAGUGUCGGACUCAGCUUGUCAAAUACACGCAGUGCCACACUGCAGCUCCCGAGGGCCUCGCCAGAUGCCAGCCUGGACACACUGAAGAGAAGCACAGCAGCUGUGGUUAACUUCACAGGCUUUUUCCAGUUAGCAAAAAGCAUCAUGUAUCCUCCCAUAUUUCCCCCUUCUGCUCUCUUUUUUGGGUGAGAGAGAACCACACCAGCAGACACUGCCUUCUGCUGCUGAGGAAAAUACCCACUCUAUUUAUUUCAAAAGUCAGAAAAAGUACAAUUCGGCCCCUGGGCAUACAUAUAGGUGUUCAUCACUGACUCUGUUGGAGGCUCCUCCAUUUGGCAGAAUACUGUAAAGAUUAUGAUGCUGAAAAAAAACCAGGCUUGCUUCCCCACAAAGGGAAACAAUGAACUUUAGAAGUGAAGUGAAACUUUCUCUUCCGUUGACAAACGAACCCCCUUCUGCUUCAUUUCUAGUGAACAGAGAAAGCCCUUGCUGCAAUAAAUGGAGAUUUCCACCUCCAAACACUGGCAAAAUCCAGCCUUUAAGGAUGAACAUCAUAUUCACACACACACACACAUGCACACCUCUUGCACAAAUAUACUGUUAUUCCCUUGUUCUUUUAACAGGAGUGUGCAGGAAAUGCAGAAAUGCACCUAAAGAAAACUAAAUAACAAAACAUACACAAGAGAAUGUGUUGCACAGUAUUACUCUGUUCUGUGUCCUUCUCAGAUGUUGACUGUUUAGAAAACCAGUCUAAAAAAAGAUUUGAAAUUCUGAUAGAGUACAACUCUCCCAGAAAAACCCAUACUGGAUCCUAAGUCACACACCCAUUCAGCACAACACUGUUUAUGUCAUUCAUACUUUUUGUGGACAUGUCCAGAUAUAGCUGAGUUUUUAGCAUGGUGUUUUAGCUUCCUUACCAGUCCAUGGAUUUUAAUUUCCCAUGACCAGCAUCACCAGUUUGUGAGAAAGUAGUCAUGCUAUUUUUAGUAUCAAAAUAAAGACUGAAAUGUUUGUAAUUAUA